rnacentral:rRNA from 1 species
UACGUAGGUGGCGAGCGUUGUCCGGAUUUACUGGGCGUAAAGGGCGUGCAGGCGGUUUGUUAAGUGCAGGGUGAAAGCUCCCGGCUCAACUGGGAGAGGUCCUUGCAUACUGGCGAACUCGAGGGAGGCAGAGGAAAGUGGAAUUCCCGGUGUAGUGGUGAUAUGCGUAGAUAUCGGGAGGAACACCUGUGGCGAAGGCGGCUUUCUGGGCCUUACCUGACGCUGAGGCACGAAAGCGUGGGGAGCAAACAGG